rnacentral:rRNA from 1 species
GUGUGUAUAAGCCUUUACAUAGUGAAACUGCGAACGGCUCAAUAACCCAGUUGUUGACGAUGUAGCUAUCGUUUGAUACAUGGAUACCGGCGGUAAUUCUGGAGCUAAUACGCGAUUAAUAACCUGACGUUUUCGAAUGGUUGUAAUUAUUAGUGUUGAACUUAAAUCGGAUUUCUCUGAACUUGAAUAAACAAUGAUAAUCUAAUUGAUCGCAUAGCAUUUGCUGGCGAUAUACUAUUCGUGCUUUUGACCUAUCAGCUUCUGACGGUAGGGUAUUUGCCUACAGUUGCAUUGACGGGUGACGGAGGAUUAGGGUUCGAUUCCGGAGAGGGAGCACGAGAAACGGCUUCCACAUCUAAGGAAUGCAGCAGGCACGCAAAUUACCCAAUCCUAAUGCAGGGGGGUAGUGACAAUAAAUAACAAUACAGGGCAUUACCGUCUUGUAGUUGGAAUGAAUCAAAACCAAGCCAUUUGAUGAGUAUCGAUUGGAGGGCAAGUCUGGUGCCAGCAGCCGCGGUAAUUCCAGCUCCAAUAGCGUAUAUUAAAGUUGUUGUGGUUAAACUGCUCGUAGUUGUGUUUCUGUCGCGGGCCGAUCGGUCCGCCCCUGGGGUGGGUACAUCGAUCGGCCUCGGCAUGAAUCUGGAUACUGUUGCUUACACUCUGUGUAACACAUGUGUUCAAACCAUUUACUUUGAGGAAAUUAAAGUGUUUCGAGCGUGCGCAUGCACCGAACACGAUAGCAUGGAAUAGCAAUAUCUGAUCGCCGUGAUAUAUAUUGUUGGUUUUUUGAGCUGCAGUAAUGACGGAUAGGGAUAAUUGGUGGCAUUUGUAUUUUGCAGUCAGAGGUGAAAUUCUUGGAUUUGCUAAAGACGAGCUUCUGCGAAAGCAUUUGUCAAGUAUGUUUUCUUUGAUCAAGAACUAAAGUUAGGGGAUCGAAGACGAUCAGAUACCGUCCUAGUCUUAACAAUAAACAAUGCCGGCUAGGAAUUGAAGGCUUUCAAUAAUACGAUCCCUUCAGCGCUUUAUGAUAAAUCAAAGCAUUUGGGUUCCGGGGGGAGUAUGGUCGCAAGGCUGAAACUUAAAGGAAUUGACGGAAGGGCACCACCAGGAGUGGAGCCUGCGGCUUAAUUUGACUCAACACGGGGAAACUUACCAGGUCCUGACAUAGUAAGGAUUGACGGAAUGAUUGUUUUUUCUUGAUUAUAUGGGUGGUGGUGCAUGGCCGUUCUUAGUUGGUGGAGUGAUUUGUCUGGUUAAUCUCGUUAACGAACGAGACCUUAGCCUGCUAAACAAUUAGACAUAACUUAGGCUAUGUUGGAAAUUCCUUAGAGGGACGUUGUGCGUUAGUGCAAUGAAGUUUUAGUCAAUAACAGGUCUGUGAUGCCCUUCGAUGUUCUGGGCUGCACGCGCGCUACACUGAUGCACUCAGAAAGUUAUCGACUGCGUUUGGAAAAAUGAAGUAACCAGAAGAACUUGCAUCGUGAUGGGGAUCGACUAUUGCAAUUCUUAGUCGUCAACGAGGAAUUCCUAAUAUGUGCAAGUAAUCAGCUUGUGUUGAUUACGUCCCUGCCCUUUGUACACACCGCCCGUCGCUUCCUUACCGAUCGAAUGAUCCCGGUAAUGAUCAGACUGGCAGCAUUCGCUGAAUCCCUCCGGGUA